CGGGUGAGUAACACGUGAGUGACCUGCCUUUUAGACUGGAACAACUUACCGAAAGGUGAGCUAAUGCCGGAUGAGUUAUAUAAGUGCAUGUUUAUAUAGGAAAAGUUGGGGAGACCUGACGCUGAAAGAUGGACUCGCGUCCCAUUAGCUAGUCGGUAGGGUAAUGGCCUACCAAGGCGACGAUGGGUAGCCGGCCUGAGAGGGUGGCCGGCCACACUGGGACUGAGACACGGCCCAGACUCCUACGGGAGGCAGCAG
rnacentral:rRNA from 1 species